rnacentral:rRNA from 1 species
GGUUAAGCGACUAAGCGUACACGGUGGAUGCCCUGGCAGUCAGAGGCGAUGAAGGACGUGCUAAUCUGCGAUAAGCGUCGGUAAGGUGAUAUGAACCGUUAUAACCGGCGAUUUCCGAAUGGGGAAACCCAGUGUGAUUCGUCACACUAUCAUUAACUGAAUCCAUAGGUUAAUGAGGCGAACCGGGGGAACUGAAACAUCUAAGUACCCCGAGGAAAAGAAAUCAACCGAGAUUCCCCCAGUAGCGGCGAGCGAACGGGGAGCAGCCCAGAGCCUGAAUCAGUGUGUGUGUUAGUGGAAGCGUCUGGAAAGGCGUGCGAUACAGGGUGACAGCCCCGUACACAAAAAUGCACAUGCUGUGAGCUCGAUGAGUAGGGCGGGACACGUGGUAUCCUGUCUGAAUAUGGGGGGACCAUCCUCCAAGGCUAAAUACUCCUGACUGACCGAUAGUGAACCAGUACCGUGAGGGAAAGGCGAAAAGAACCCCGGCGAGGGGAGUGAAAAAGAACCUGAAACCGUGUACGUACAAGCAGUGGGAGCACAGAGCAAUCUGUGUGACUGCGUACCUUUUGUAUAAUGGGUCAGCGACUUAUAUUCUGUAGCAAGGUUAACCGAAUAGGGGAGCCGAAGGGAAACCGAGUCUUAACUGGGCGUUAAGUUGCAGGGUAUAGACCCGAAACCCGGUGAUCUAGCCAUGGGCAGGUUGAAGGUUGGGUAACACUAACUGGAGGACCGAACCGACUAAUGUUGAAAAAUUAGCGGAUGACUUGUGGCUGGGGGUGAAAGGCCAAUCAAACCGGGAGAUAGCUGGUUCUCCCCGAAAGCUAUUUAGGUAGCGCCUCGUGAAUUCAUCUCCGGGGGUAGAGCACUGUUUCGGCAAGGGGGUCAUCCCGACUUACCAACCCGAUGCAAACUGCGAAUACCGGAGAAUGUUAUCACGGGAGACACACGGCGGGUGCUAACGUCCGUCGUGAAGAGGGAAACAACCCAGACCGCCAGCUAAGGUCCCAAAGUCAUGGUUAAGUGGGAAACGAUGUGGGAAGGCCCAGACAGCCAGGAUGUUGGCUUAGAAGCAGCCAUCAUUUAAAGAAAGCGUAAUAGCUCACUGGUCGAGUCGGCCUGCGCGGAAGAUGUAACGGGGCUAAACCAUGCACCGAAGCUGCGGCAGCGACGCUUAUGCGUUGUUGGGUAGGGGAGCGUUCUGUAAGCCUGUGAAGGUGUGCUGUGAGGCAUGCUGGAGGUAUCAGAAGUGCGAAUGCUGACAUAAGUAACGAUAAAGCGGGUGAAAAGCCCGCUCGCCGGAAGACCAAGGGUUCCUGUCCAACGUUAAUCGGGGCAGGGUGAGUCGACCCCUAAGGCGAGGCCGAAAGGCGUAGUCGAUGGGAAACAGGUUAAUAUUCCUGUACUUGGUGUUACUGCGAAGGGGGGACGGAGAAGGCUAUGUUGGCCGGGCGACGGUUGUCCCGGUUUAAGCGUGUAGGCUGGUUUUCCAGGCAAAUCCGGAAAAUCAAGGCUGAGGCGUGAUGACGAGGCACUACGGUGCUGAAGCAACAAAUGCCCUGCUUCCAGGAAAAGCCUCUAAGCAUCAGGUAACAUCAAAUCGUACCCCAAACCGACACAGGUGGUCAGGUAGAGAAUACCAAGGCGCUUGAGAGAACUCGGGUGAAGGAACUAGGCAAAAUGGUGCCGUAACUUCGGGAGAAGGCACGCUGAUAUGUAGGUGAAGUCCCUCGCGGAUGGAGCUGAAAUCAGUCGAAGAUACCAGCUGGCUGCAACUGUUUAUUAAAAACACAGCACUGUGCAAACACGAAAGUGGACGUAUACGGUGUGACGCCUGCCCGGUGCCGGAAGGUUAAUUGAUGGGGUCAGCGCAAGCGAAGCUCUUGAUCGAAGCCCCGGUAAACGGCGGCCGUAACUAUAACGGUCCUAAGGUAGCGAAAUUCCUUGUCGGGUAAGUUCCGACCUGCACGAAUGGCGUAAUGAUGGCCAGGCUGUCUCCACCCGAGACUCAGUGAAAUUGAACUCGCUGUGAAGAUGCAGUGUACCCGCGGCAAGACGGAAAGACCCCGUGAACCUUUACUAUAGCUUGACACUGAACAUUGAGCCUUGAUGUGUAGGAUAGGUGGGAGGCUUUGAAGUGUGGACGCCAGUCUGCAUGGAGCCGACCUUGAAAUACCACCCUUUAAUGUUUGAUGUUCUAACGUUGACCCGUAAUCCGGGUUGCGGACAGUGUCUGGUGGGUAGUUUGACUGGGGCGGUCUCCUCCUAAAGAGUAACGGAGGAGCACGAAGGUUGGCUAAUCCUGGUCGGACAUCAGGAGGUUAGUGCAAUGGCAUAAGCCAGCUUGACUGCGAGCGUGACGGCGCGAGCAGGUGCGAAAGCAGGUCAUAGUGAUCCGGUGGUUCUGAAUGGAAGGGCCAUCGCUCAACGGAUAAAAGGUACUCCGGGGAUAACAGGCUGAUACCGCCCAAGAGUUCAUAUCGACGGCGGUGUUUGGCACCUCGAUGUCGGCUCAUCACAUCCUGGGGCUGAAGUAGGUCCCAAGGGUAUGGCUGUUCGCCAUUUAAAGUGGUACGCGAGCUGGGUUUAGAACGUCGUGAGACAGUUCGGUCCCUAUCUGCCGUGGGCGCUGGAGAACUGAGGGGGGCUGCUCCUAGUACGAGAGGACCGGAGUGGACGCAUCACUGGUGUUCGGGUUGUCAUGCCAAUGGCACUGCCCGGUAGCUAAAUGCGGAAGAGAUAAGUGCUGAAAGCAUCUAAGCACGAAACUUGCCCCGAGAUGAGUUCUCCCUGACCCUUUAAGGGUCCUGAAGGAACGUUGAAGACGACGACGUUGAUAGGCCGGGUGUGUAAGCGCAGCGAUGCGUUGAGCUAACCGGUACUAAUGAACCGUGAGGCUUAACCUU